rnacentral:lncRNA from 1 species
CCAAAAUACAUACAGUUCAUAAUUCAACCUUAAAUUUUGCUUUUGUUUGGUCUAGAGCUGCAAUUCCAUCUAUCAGGAACUACAGGAAUGGAAACUUGGUCCAUUGAGGCAGAAGGCAGCCCAACAACUCAUCUGCAAACAAAGGUUACUAAAGGAGAUUGUGGCACCUAAAAAGAAAAAAGGAGCUCAUCAGACUGCGAGGGCUCAACAGCGACCUUUCCCAAAGUCGGGAGAAGGGAAUGGAUCGCUCCUCCUGGGGCUUUUCUGUGCUGAGUCUCUGAUCCCGGAGCUUGGUACCAACAUUCUUUCAACUAAUCCCUUCAGGUAUAAAUAUCUUCCAUGCCAGCAGCCUGCAACCAAUCAUUUUCCAUCCACACCCAAACGGCUGCCAGGGUAUUAGGUAUUAAACCGUCAAGUUAACACAGGUCUUUGUAUUCUGAAGGAGAGACCUUUCACGAGGACCUUGAGCUUCAGUUACCAGUCUCCCACACAUUUACCCUGGAGCCCGUCACCCUGGACAGGGGCGGAGGCUGGGGUGAGAGUUGGAAGGAUUGUCUGUGAAGCUUCGGGCUGGGACAGUGCAAGUGCAGAAACACACUGGAGACAAACAAGGGGAGUCAGACUACUAUUCAAUGAUAGAGGAAGGAUAUUUUUACGGGGAAGAGUUAGUUACGUGUUUAUUUUUUAACGUUAUCUGAAACAAAAAGAUAAGGCCGUUUCUCAUAGCCAUGGACUCUGUCAAACCACAAUAGAUCAAGGGUCAGACCUCAAGGUUUAAACUGAGUGGGAUGUCAGGUCCAAGGAUUUGUUUAUGUUUUGUUUAGGUCUCAAACUUCAUCUUCAUCUGAUGCUGAGGAGAACAGGGCUGAAGAAGCAGCCUGUGACAACAG